GGAUGUGAGGACAAUUGAAAGAGACAUCUGACACACCAUUGAUUGCUGGGUUGAUUUGACUGAUCUGGCUGACUAGGCAGAUGUUUCUUCCUCACUUACUGCUCUAUGUGCAUCCCUCCUGAAGCUGGAAGAGAAUGACCAUCCACGAUAGAAGUUGUGUAAGAAUCUUAGGUCAAGGGUAUAUGAUGGUUGUUCUCCCCUGUUAGAACCAGGGGUGGGCUGCUACCAGUUCGCACUGGUUUGGGAAAAUCAGAUGUUAAUUUUACAUCUGGUUCACC
rnacentral:snRNA from 1 species